rnacentral:lncRNA from 1 species
AAAAGUCGCUAAAGAUGGACGAAAAGUUAAGCCUAUAGUCUUACUUCUUUGCUGUUUUUUGCGCACUUAUGAAAAAUGGAAAAAGUCGCUAAAGAUGAACGAAAAGUUAAGCCUAUAGUCUUACUUCUUUGCUGUUUUUUGCGCACUUAUGAAAAAUGGAAAAAGUCGCUAAAGAUGGACGAAAAGUUAAGCCUAUAGUCUUACUUCUUUGCUGUUUUUUGCGCACUUAUGAAAAAUGGAAAAAGUCGCUAAAGAUGGACGAAAAGUUAAGCCUAUAGUCUUACUUCUUUGCUGUUUUUUGCGCACUUAUGAAAAAUGGAAAAAGUCGCUAAAGAUGGACGAAAAGUUAAGCCUAUAGUCUUACUUCUUUGCUGUUUUUUGCGCACUUAUGAAAAAUGGAAAAAGUCGCUAAAGAUGGACGAAAAGUUAAGCGUAUAGUCUUACUUCUUUGCGGUUUUUGCGCUCGUAUGAAAAAUGGGAAAAGUCGCUAAAGAUAGACGAAAAGUUAAGCCUAUAGUCUUACUUCUUUGCUGUUUUUUGCGCACUUAUGAAAAAUGGAAAAAGUCGCUAAAGAUGGACGAAAAGUUAAGCCUAUAGUCUUACUUCUUUGCUGUUUUUUGCGCACUUAUGAAAAAUGGAAAAAGUUGCUAAAGAUGGACGAAAGGUUAAGCCUAUAGUCUUACUUCUUUGCUGUUUUUUGCGCACUUAUGAAAAAUGGAAAAAGUCGCUAAAGAUGGAC